AUGCCUUCGUUUUCCCCUUUUCUUUUUUGCCGCUUUCACCGCUGUCCGUCAUCCUCUCGGCUAAAGCAGCGCCGUUGGGAAGUGCUUUCCCGCGUCCCCAGAUGCAGCGGCUCCGCAAAAGAGGCAGCCGUCGUCCAUCGGACGUAUUACCGGUCUCUUACUUAUUCCCUAAUUUUAAAAAAAUGCAUGGUUUUUUUUUCCCCCUUGAAUCGGUUUGGGUGCUGCCUGGCGCAUCCGUUGGGGAGCGAGCGGCGAGGGGGGACCGACCGGGAAGGCGAGAGCUCCUCUAUCCGGCCGCGGGAGACACCUGCUUUUUGCGAACCCUCCCUCUCCGCCCUCGGCCGAGGCAGGGCGCUGCCGUCCCGCAGCACCAACCCCCCGGACCUUUUCUGCUCCUUUUCGCCCUCGCCGGGGGGUCCCAGCCCUCCCAGGCCGCGCUUCCGCCCCUCCGGCCUGCGGGACGUUAAAAUAGCUGGUGGGGGGGCUGCUGGUUAUCGCAAUUUGUUAUGCUGCACAAAAGAGCAUUUACGGCCCCACCGGGGGCCCGUUAAUUUGUUUGGGGAUGAACAAUUAAUCUCCCGGGGAGCAGCAAAGACGACGGGUUUUUACGUCUUUCGCUGGCGGGACCGAGCUGCCGGCGGGCGCCGGCUCCCUGUCCCAGCUCCCGCUUCUCCCCGGUCGUUCUCCCGCGCUUUCCGCGGCGCCGAAGGAGCCUUUCCAACCUCCCCCAGCCGGGUGCCCGCAAGCAGCCUCGAUGGACCCCGGGUUUUUCCCCCCUCCGUGUGUUUUUGGUUCUCACGCGCUGGCUGCAUCCUGUUUCCCGAACCGUUUCCGCUGGGGAUGCGGCGGCCGGCGGGAGGGAGGGAGGGAGGUGCCGCACAGCGUGGCGGCACAGAGGCUUUCCAGCUGAUAAUAUCCAUCUUCACCCAUCAGCUUUUUUCCCAAAGCCUUGUGAUUUUUUCUUGGAAAGCCGCUGUUUGGGCUGGGGGCACGACUGCGGCGCAGGGCCGCGUUCCCAAAAAGCCACCGAAAGGCUCAGGGCGAAAGCAAGACCGAGCGGCAGCUCCGAGUUCCCCGGCGAGGAGCAGGGAUUUUUGA
rnacentral:lncRNA from 1 species